CGCUGGGGAUGCUCUUAGGGUUUCCAUUUCAUUCUACUACAUAUCUGGAAGGUUGCGCCUCUUUGAUAGCUAUGAGAAAUAUGACAGCACUUUUAUCUUUGAUUUCCUCAUUGCAUUUACUUCUAGGUUAAUUUUCUUGAAAAGAUCAUACCAGAGGCACUCGCGGAGUUUGCAGAAGAUCAGCGCCUGGGCCGAGUUCAUCGGGUACGCCGGCAGCAUUUCGUUGAAAUUUAGGGAUUUGAAUUGGGUCUCGGAUGACGAUAAGUGCGUGAAAUCGAGCAUUGAGUUCGCGAUCACGGGGGGGAACGGGUGCGAGGAAGAGAAGCAGAGGUUGAGUAAAUUGUGUGAGAAGAAAAUGAUGAAGAGGCUCUCUGUGGUUCAAGAUUCGGCGGAUGCGUUAAUGGCGUUGGCGGAUAUCCGGGACGGCGGCGGACCGUUCCUGGGGCCGCUUUCGGUAUCGCUGGCGGGGAUGUUAUCGGCUCUGAUUAGCACUCGCAAAAAUUGGGUGUCUUGCUGAGAUUCAUGGCCAUUUUACAAGGGGAAUAAAACUCAAUACGGAUUGUUACAGGCAGCGGUGAAUAAGAAUUUUUAUAGCACCUUCUGAAUUAUCCAGCAAGCUCUCACCCCCGCGCAACCAGAAUCUACCCCCCGGACUCGGACCUCCUUCCAAUUUGUGUUUCUUUUUCCUUUUUUUUGGCUGAUGGAGUCCGAACUCAAACGCCUCAAUUCCAAACCGGCCAAGCAGGACCGCAACGACGGUCCGGCGUCCAAGGACGACCGCCCGCUCCUCAAACCCGACCCGGCCUCCUCCGUCUCCGCCGAGGAGCUCCAGGAGCUAGAGAAGAAAUGCGCGGCGUACGUGUGACGCGAUGUGUACGGCACCAUGGGACGCGGUGAAUUGCCGGUGAAGGAGAAGGUGCUGCUAGGUCUCGCUAUGGUGACUCUGGUUCCGAUACGCGUGGUGCUGGCCACGACGCUGUUGGUGCUGUUCUUGAUUUGCCAGAUUUGCACGAUUUGCACACUCUUCAAAAUCCCCAAUCGCGACGAACGAUUUGCACACUCUUCAAAAUCCCCAAUCGCGACGAACGAUUUGCACACUCUUCAAAAUCCCCAAUCGCGACGAAGGAGCAGGAGGAUUACGCACAUGCGGGGCUGGCGGCGGACCGUGAUUGUCCAGUGCGGCCGCACCUUAUCCAGAGCCAUGCUCUUCGUCUUUGGCUUCUAUUGGAUCAACGAGCCAUGUCGGAUACCAUCGGAUUCCGAACCCAAACAGCUUCAGGAGCACUUGUAACUCCAUAACACUUGAUGUCCGCUACACCUUCGAAGAACCCGCCGUUCUUUUCACGAUCAAACAGGUUCUUGAAUGCACGUGCGUUCAUGAACCGGAAAACGGUUUGUCAACAAUGAGGAAAUGUAGUAUAAUCUCCCCACCGUUUCCUGCCUUAUUCUUAUCCAUCGGAUUUAUAGCUAAAUUUUGUAUCAUAUAUUUAUAUUUUUAGUUUGUACCUAUUUUAAUUUGCAGCCCUUUCUUUAAAUUGUUGACAAACCGUUUUCCCGGUUCAUGAACGAACGUGUAUUCAAGAACCUGUUUGGUCGUGAAAAGAACAGCGGGUUCUUCGAAGGUGUAGCGGACAUCAAGUGUUAUGGAGCCAUGCUCUUCGGCCUCAUCACCAAGGGCUUCGGUUGUGUCUAUGUUCAGCGAGAGUCAAAGUCACCCGACUUCAAGGGAGUUGCAUGUACAUAGAUUGUGGAUGCUCCCUGUUUUUGAUAGUUUCCUGAUCACUCUCAAGGUGCACGUCAUAAAUCUUGCGUUAUUUGCGGUGCUGUGGCUGAAAGAGUUAAAGAAGCACAUCAGAAUAAAUCCGCCCCGCCAAUAAUGAUUUUCCCAGGUUCACCACGUGAUACUUCUUCUCUGUCAAUUUGUAAAUCACAUAGAGGUCACAAGGUUACCUGUUUAUUACCCCUCACAAGAAGAAAAGGAUGAUCCAAAACUCUACGCUAGUAAUGUCAGAAGAUUGAUGGCCAAUGAGGGCAACAUGACUCUAUCAGAUAUUGGACUUGCCGAGAAGCAGGUGUAUCAUGCUGCUCUUAAUGAUAUAUCUAGUCACAGUUGAGUUUCCUAGUUUUCGUAUGAUGGCACUAGUCGUCAUCUGUAUAUUCAUGUAUGAUUCUAUUAGUUUAGUCUGUUGUUCGUUGGGUAGAAAUGUGAGAUGGACGUAAGUGGAUAAUACAUAUUAUGAAUCCACGAUAAAGUAGGUUAUUUAAUUUAUCAUUGUACAUGGGUUAGAAGUUUUGUCUUAAAAGUCUGUCAAUCCAAUUCUAUUUCUAGAAC